UACGUAGGGUGCGAGCGUUAAUCGGAAUUACUGGGCGUAAAGCGUGCGCAGGCGGUUCGUUAAGACAGAUGUGAAAUCCCCGGGCUUAACCUGGGAACUGCAUUUGUGACUGGCGAGCUAGAGUAUGGCAGAGGGGGGUAGAAUUCCACGUGUAGCAGUGAAAUGCGUAGAGAUGUGGAGGAAUACCGAUGGCGAAGGCAGCCCCCUGGGCCCAAUACUGACGCUCAUGCACGAAAGGCGUGGGGAGCAAA
rnacentral:rRNA from 1 species